UGAACGGCCCUUGUUGUGA
rnacentral:miRNA from 1 species